GCUCAGAUUGAACGUUGGCGGCAGGCUUAACACAUGCAAGUCGAGCGGAGUGAUGGUGCUUGCACUAUCACUUAGCGGCGGACGGGUGAGUAAUGCUUAGGAAUCUGCCUAUUAGUGGGGGACAACAUUUGGAAAGGAAUGCUAAUACCGCAUACGUCNUACGGGAGAAAGCAGGGGAUNUUCGGCCCUUGCGCUAAUAGAUGAGCGUAAGUCGGAUUAGAUAGUUGGUGGGGUAAAGGCCUUCCAAGGGGACGAUCUGUAGCGGGUNUGAGAGGAUGAUCCGCCACACUGGGAGUGAGACNCGGCCCAGACUCCUACGGGAGGCAGCANUNGGGAAUAUUGGACAAUGGGNGCAAGCCUGAUCCAGCCAUGCCGCGUGUGUGAAGAAGGCCUUAUGGUUGUAAAGCACUUUAAGCGAGGAGGAGGNUACUGAAGUUAAUACCUUCAGAUAGUGGACGUUACUCGCAGAAUAAGCACCGGCUAACUCUGUGCCAGCAGCCGCGGUAAUACAGAGGGUGCAAGCGUUAAUCGGAUUUACUGGGCGUAAAGCGCGCGUAGGCGGCUAAUUAAGUCAAAUGUGAAAUCCCCGAGCUUAACUUGGGAAUUGNNNUCGAAACUGGUUAGCUAGAGUGCNGGAGAGGAGGGUAGAAUNCCAGGUGUAGCGGUGAAAUNCNUUGAGUUNNGGAGGAACNCCC
rnacentral:rRNA from 1 species